rnacentral:rRNA from 1 species
UACGAAGGGGGGCUAGCGUUGCUCGGAAUCACUGGGCGUAAAGCGCACGUAGGCGGAUUCUUAAGUCAGGGGUGAAAUCCCGGAGCUCAACUCCGGAACUGCCUUUGAUACUGAGGAUCUCGAGUUCGGGAGAGGUGAGUGGAACUGCGAGUGUAGAGGUGAAAUUCGUAGAUAUUCGCAAGAACACCAGUGGCGAAGGCGGCUCACUGGCCCGAUACUGACGCUGAGGUGCGAAAGCGUGGGGAGCAAACAGG